rnacentral:rRNA from 1 species
GAGCGUUGUCCGGAAUUAUUGGGCGUAAAGGGCUUGUAGGCGGUUGGUCGCGUCUGCCGUGAAAUUCUCUGGCUUAACUGGGGGCGUGCGGUGGGUACGGGCUGACUUGAGUGCAGUAGGGGAGACUGGAAUUCCUGGUGUAGCGGUGGAAUGCGCAGAUAUCAGGAGGAACACCGAUGGCGAAGGCAGGUCUCUGGGCCGUUACUGACGCUGAGGAGCGAAAGCGUGGGGAGCGAACAGGAUUAGAUACCCUGGUAGUCCACGCUGUAAACGUUGGGCACUAGGUGUGGGGGCCACCCGUGGUUUCUGCGCCGUAGCUAACGCUUUAAGUGCCCCGCCUGGGGAGUACGGCCGCAAGGCUAAAACUCAAAGGAAUUGACGGGGGCCCGCACAAGCGGCGGAGCAUGCGGAUUAAUUCGAUGCAACGCGAAGAACCUUACCAAGGCUUGACAUGC